UGCAUAAAUGUCUAAUCUGUAUUCAGUAUUUAAGUAAACCAGAGGAAUAAGGUAUGUUCAUAGACAAAUAGGAACUCUAGGUUUCUCCUCAAGUUUCCCACUCAUUGGAGGUACAACGUUUCAAUGCUCUGGUGCAUUAGUAGUCUUAACAAGGGCCUGAUGAAUAGGUACACGUCAACAUCUGGGAUGUGAAUAUCUGAGAGAGGAAGAAAUACAAAACACAGAUUGUUCUCAAACAGCUUGCAUCAUCAUCGCCUGCAAGAUUAUGUUUUUAAUUCCAGGUGAUGGCCCCAAAGUGAGAGGAGUCUGGACGCAGCCGACAUCAUCAUCAUCACUCUGAGAUAGAGAGAAAACAACAUGGUGGAACAACGAAAACAGAGAAACAAAACACUUUUUCCUUUCCCACUAAAAACAUGUAGAACAUCUUCAAAACAGGUCACAAGUCCAUUAUUGUGAUCCACACCAAUACUUUCCAUGUAGGAUACAUGAGAAAACAGGGCGCCGAGGUCACGUUUCCUCUAGGUACCGAUCCAGGAUCAGAUUCCGCUCCCCUAAUCCUAACUUUAACAAUAGUGGGGAAAUGUAAAACGGACCCAAGAUCAGCGUCUAGGGGCAACUUCACCCUACAGCAAAAAACACGGCAUAUGGUCAAACUGCACAGACGUCAACUGAACGUCUAUUUCACGUUGGCUCAACGUAAUUUCAUUGCAAUUACAGGGGAACAACGUCGAUUCAACAAGUGUGUGCCCAGUGGGCAGGGUGUAACUUCCCAAUACAAAACUUCACACCACCACCAUCAUCAUCAUCAUCAUCCCUGUUGGAAAGAGAUUAGCCUGAUCCCAGAUCGGUUUGUGCUCUUGCCAACUCAAUGUAGUUGUCAAGCCAAUUGUUUGGCAUGACAAUUCCAUAAUGAGUUGGCAUGAACAGAAACAGAUCUGGGAUCAGGCUAGAAAGAGAUGGGAGAGAAUUCAAACAAUGAUGCAAGAGAAAAACGUCUGCAACAAAUCAACAACGCAGUGAGUCAAUCCUAACCACUACUGUAGUCGCUUUUCUGAUCAACCUAAAUCAGAACAGAAUGUCAAAAACUACAUGUCAAAUACAUGAGCACAACAAUGUGUGUUCUGAUGCUUUUAUCAAAACCUAAUGCAAGCUAGAGAUACAUCAAUCUAAUGAAUGGAGGGAUAUGUAAUAUGAAACACCGAAACUUGGCACUUUGAACUGAAAUACUAGAACAUUCCUCGGUAUGUAAUAAUGUACAUGGUUGUAAACAGGGUUGGGGUCAAUUCCAUUUCAAUUCAGAAAGAUUCCAAUUUACUUCCUGAAUAGACUGGAAUUGAAAUGGAAUUGACCCCAACCCUGGUUGUAAACAGAUAGAUGUCCACUCUGGGCCACCGUAGUAGUGGACAUAAGGGCCUGGAGUUUGUUCUACUGACCACUUGGCCUGACCAGGUAAAACUUUAGGCCCCAGACAUAGUUAAUAGAUGUUUGGCAGACCAGGUUCAUUCCUACUUCCUAUACAAAAUCUAUUGUUUCCUUGACUUUUUCAGACAACACAACAACGGCUGUGUCUAAGAGUGAGGGGCCUAACGUAAAGGAGACUGGGGCUGCAUGGGCGAUGGUAAGAGAUAGGGGAUGUCUCAAUCCACUUUACUGGCUUCCUUCCUUCAUCUCCUUUUCCUUCAUUAUUAAUGAUAGGUGAAAGGCCUGGAUAGGCUUUCACCAUAUGUUGCUUCCACUUACCAGAUCAGAGAUCAUGGAGGAAAGGGUACAAUGAAAAGGAAGCAAGAUCACACUAUUGAGACACAGCCUGGGGGGGAGGGUCCUAUAUCAAGCUCACACUAUUGAGACACAGCCUGGGGGGGAGGGUCCUAUAUCAAGCUCACACUAUUGAGACACAGCCUGGGGGGGAGGUCCUAUAUCAAGCUCACACUAUUGAGACACAGCCUGGGGGGGAGGGUCCUAUAUCAAGCUCACACUAUUGAGACACAGCCUGGGGGGGAGGGUCCUAUAUCAAGCUCACACUAUUGAGACACAGCCCGGGGGGAGGGUCCUAUAUCAAGAACACACUAUUGAGACACAGCCCGGGGGGAGGGUCUUAUACCAAGAUCACACUAUUGAGACACAGCCCGGGGGGAGGGUCCUAUAUCAAGAUCACACUAUUGAGACACAGCCCGGGGGGAGGGUCUUAUACCAAGAUCACACUAUUGAGACACAGCCCAGGGGGAGGGUCUUAUACCAAGAUCACACUAUUGAGACACAGCCUGGGGGGAGGGUCCUAUACCAAGAUUGGCAAAGUAACCCAUUAUACUAACUACUUUCAAAGAAAGGAAUUGCAAGGCACAGUGAAAUUGACAACUGGUAAAUAUCAGUUCCCUAGACAUCAUUAAAUCCAGUAGGGUUUUAGUCAUACGGCCUAACAACAGAUUCUAAUUUGGUCCAAAAGGAAAGACAGGUUUGAGUGCAUUUGCAGCAAACAGAUGACAUAGCUUUAACCUUUAGACAGUACCAGGUCAUAGCUUUAACCUUUAGACAGUACCAGGUCAUAGCUUUAACCUUUAGACAGUACCAGGUCUUCUCUAUUGACAAUCCAAUUCUGAAAGGUUUGUGCAUU